GACGAACGCUGGCGGCGUGCUUAACACAUGCAAGUCGAACGGAGUGGCGAACGGGUGAGUAACACGUGGGUGAACUGCCUUGCACUUCGGGAUAAGCUGGGGAAACUGGGUCUAAUACCGGAUAGUGCAAGAUGAGCUCGCGGCCUAUCAGCUUGUUGGUGGGGUAAUGGCCGACCAAGGCGUCGACGGGUAGCCGGCCUGAGAGGGUGUACGGCCCCAAUGGGACUAGGAUACGGGCCAGAAUCCAACGGGAGGCAGCGGUGGGGAAUAUUGCACAAUGGGCGGAAGCCUGAUGCAGAGACGCCGCGUGGGGGAUGAAGGCCUUCGGGUUGUAAACUCCUUUCGACAGGGACGCGGUACCUGCAUAAGAAGCACCGGCUAACUACGUGCCAGCAGCCGCGGUAAUUC
rnacentral:rRNA from 1 species